GUAUUCGCUGUGGCAGCACAUAUACUAAAAUUGCAACUAUAUAGACAAGAUUAGCUUGGCCCCCGAGCAAGGAUGGCACGUAUAUUUGUGAAGCAUUCUGCAGUUUU